CCUACGGGCGGCAGCAGUAGGGAAUAUUACUCAAUGGGGGAAACCCUGACGCAGCAACGCCGCGUGGAGGAUGAAGGUUUUCGGAUCGUAAACUCCUUUUGUUAGAGAAGAUAAUGACGGUAUCUAACGAAUAAGCACCGGCUAACUCCGUGCCAGCAGCCGCGGUAAUACGGAGGGUGCAAGCGUUACUCGGAAUCACUGGGCGUAAAGAGCGCGUAGGCGGGAUAGCAAGUCAGAUGUGAAAUCCUAUGGCUUAACCAUAGAACUGCAUUUGAAACUGUUAUUCUAGAGUAUGGAAGAGGUAGGUGGAAUUCUAGGUGUAGGGGUAAAAUCCGUAGAGAUCAAGAGGAAUACUCAUGGCGAAGGCGACCUGCUAGAACGUAACUGACGCUGAUGCGCGAAAGCGUGGGGAGCAAACAGGAUUAGAUACCCUUGUAGUC
rnacentral:rRNA from 1 species